GUUCAUUUUCUGUGUCAAUGUGGGUUGAUGACCUCAUCGUGAUCCAACUUGGAAAACAUGAAUUCAAGACCACUGGACCAGCCAUUCGUUAAUAUGAAGGUAGACGUAGCUGAGGCAAGAUGUCAGCCCGAGGAGGGAAGAAGAAGACCACCAAACUGUCCCGCUCCGCCAGAGCAGGGGUCAUCUUUCCUGUGGGGAGGAUGAUGAGGUAUCUACGCACAGGGACCCACAAGUACCGCAUCGGCAUGGGGGCACCCGUCUACAUGGCAGCCGUCAUAGAGUACCUGGCAGCUGAGAUUUUGGAGUUGGCAGGAAAUGCAGCAAGGGACAAC